GGGGGCAACUGUUGGGGUAAGUCAGUCGAUCUCCGACUCCAACUCUACAUCGGUCACACAAGCAUGCUACGUCGACUCAUAGUCAGUCAACCGACUGACAGUCGACUAUUAUUGACCAACAACACACGACUUGAUCAACCUCUAAUCAAAGAGCAUCGGCAUAUUAGAGUUACCAACCGAUGGUCAUUCGGAUCUUCUACCAACUUACUGCUACCGACCGACAUAC
rnacentral:lncRNA from 1 species